UACGGGGGGGGCAAGCGUUGUUCGGAAUUACUGGGCGUAAAGGGCUCGUAGGUGGCCAACUAAGUCAGACGUGAAAUCCCUCGGCUUAACCGGGGAACUGCAUCUGAUACUGGAUGGCUUGAGUUUGGGAGAGGGACGCGGAAUUCCAGGUGUAGCGGUGAAAUGCGUAGAUAUCUGGAGGAACACCGGUGGCGAAGGCGGCGUCCUGGACCAACACUGACACUGAGAGACGAAAGCUAGGGGAGCGAAUGGG
rnacentral:rRNA from 1 species